UUUAGGUGCAUGUUUAAGGAUGGGUCGAGAACUUAUUAUCAUGUCACUACCACAAAAAUGAGAAAAAGUAACACUCAAUAUAUAACUGUCAAGUUGGAAAAGCGUUCUCUAAAUUAUAUAGAACGCCUUUGGUAGAGAAACGUUGUGUAUAUUGUAUCAAAUAGAACGCCUCACUAAGUUAAUUGUUAUGUUUGAUUUUUUGAUUUUUUUUUUUAUUAAAUUGUAGCUUUACAAUAUAGAACAUUUUUCUUAGUUAACCGUUCUACGGUAUGGAGUAUUUAAAAAAAAAAAAGGUCAAAACCCUAUUUGCUCUAACCGCCGUUCAUUGCUCUCCUUUCUCUUCCCUCUCCUUAUAGAAUUCCGCUAUCUCUCUCAUCCGAUUCGACCUAGUAAUCUCCCAUGGAUCUUACUCUAUUUCCCCUUAACGGCCUCCUUCAAUGGCAAAAAAAACCCUUCUCCUUCCUCCACACAAAAAGCCCGGAUUUGGGGCUUUAACAAUGGCGAGGCAACACCGCCUCCUCCCUUCUCCGCUGCUAUCCCAUCACCGCCAUACUCUUCCCUGACGAUGGAUGUUAAUUGGCGGAUGAUGAUCACAAGGUAACUCAUUGAGUUUCUAAUUAAACGAUGAUGGUAUUCUAAUUAAACGAUGAUGGUAUCCUAUGUGUGUUGUAGCUUAAAUGUAUCAGUUAGCUAAUUUUGUCAAAUUUUAUCAAAAAAAAAGAUAUUGUAAUUUGUAGUUUAAUUUUAAUGUAUCAUAUCGACUUUUAUUUA